rnacentral:rRNA from 1 species
AGCGGAGGAAAAGAAACCAACAGGGAUUGCCUUAGUAGCGGCGAGUGAAGCGGCAAGAGCUCAAAUUUGAAAUCUGGCGUAAGCCCGAGUUGUAAUUUGAAGAAGAUAUUCUUGGAAUUGGUCCUUGUCUAUGUUCCUUGGAACAGGACGUCACAGAGGGUGAGAAUCCCGUGCGACAAGGAAUUCUUUUCUUUAUAAGAUGUCUUCGAAGAGUCGAGUUGUUUGGGAAUGCAGCUCAAAGUGGGUGGUAAAUUCCAUCUAAAGCUAAAUAUUGGCGAGAGACCGAUAGCGAACAAGUACUGUGAAGGAAAGAUGAAAAGAACUUUGAAAAGAGAGUGAAAAAGUACGUGAAAUUGUUGAAAGGGAAGGGUAUUCGAUCAGACUGGUAUUUAAUUAUCGCUACUCCUUGUGGGUGGUGCUCUAAUUUCUUACUGGGCCAACAUCAGUUUUGGUGGUAAGAUAAUCGCAGUUGAAUGUGGCUCCUCGGAGUGUUAUAGCUUCUGUUGAUGUUACCUACCGGGACUGAGGUCUGCGACUUUGUCUAGGAUGUUGGCGUAAUGAUCCAAUACCGCCCGUC